rnacentral:rRNA from 1 species
AAGUCGAACGCGAAAGUUCCCUUCGGGGAGCUAGUAGAGUGGCGCACGGGUGAGUAACACGUAGGUAAUCUACCUUUGGAUUGGGAAUAACACCGAGAAAUCGGUGCUAAUACCGAAUAAUGCAGCGGCACCUAAUGGUGACAGUUGUUAAAGCGGGGGAUCGAAAGACCUCGCGUCUGAAGAGGAGCCUGCGGCAGAUUAGCUAGUUGGUAAGGUAACGGCUUACCAAGGCGAUGAUCUGUAGCCGGCCUGAGAGGGCGGUCGGCCACACUGACACUGACAUACGGGUCAGACUCCUACGGGAGGCAGCAGUCGGGAAUUUUGGGCAAUGGGCGAAAGCCUGACCCAGCAACGCCGCGUGAAGGAUGAAAUCCCUCGGGAUGUAAACUUCGCAAGAACGGGAAGAAUAAGCCGGUGUUAACACCACCGGUGAUGACGGUACUGUUUGUAAGCUCCGGCUAACUCCGUGCCAGCAGCCGCGGUAAUACGGGGGGAGCAAGCGUUGUUCGGAUUUACUGGGCGUAAAGGGCGCGUAGGCGGCCACCGCAAGUCGAUUGUGAAAUCUCCGGGCUUAACCCGGAAAGGUCAACCGAUACUGCGGGGCUAGAGUGCAGAAGGGGCAACUGGAAUUCUCGGUGUAGCGGUGAAAUGCGUAGAUAUCGAGAGGAACACCUGCGGCGAAGGCGGGUUGCUGGGCUGACACUGACGCUGAAGUGCGAAAGCUAGGGGAGCGAACGGGAUUAGAUACCCCGGUAGUCCUAGCCUUAAACGAUGAAUGCUUGGUGUCUGGGGUUUUAUA